rnacentral:rRNA from 1 species
GGAAUAUUGGGCAAUGGGCGAAAGCCUGACCCAGCAACGCCGCGUGAGUGAAGAAGGCCUUCGGGUUGUAAAGCUCUGUUAUAGUUGACGAAGGAAGUGACGGUAGGCUAUAAGGAAGCCACGGCUAACUACGUGCCAGCAGCCGCGGUAAUACGUAGGGGGCGAGCGUUGUCCGGAAUGACUGGGCGUAAAGGGCGUGUAGGCGGCUGAAUAAGUCUGGAGUGAAAGUCCUGCUUUUAAGGUGGGAAUUGCUUUGGAUACUGUUCAGCUUGAGUGCGGAAGAGGUAAGUGGAAUUCCCAGUGUAGCGGUGAAAUGCGUAGAGAUUGGGAGGAACACCAGUGGCGAAGGCGACUUACUGGGCCGUAACUGACGCUGAGGCGCGAAAGCGUGGGGAGCGAACA